UUGGAUUAAGAACUUUUUGGUCAGUUGAGUUUCCAUCUUGAAGUAAAGAUGGAUUAAAAGUUUCAACCCCUUUCUUGUUUUGUGCGGUUUACUCUCGAUCUAACUGUUUAAUUUCGUUGAUUUUAGAAUUAGUAAUAGAGAAUUUCUAAUAAAUUUAAUUUCUAAAUGUUCAAUUUUCUUCUAGGCAUUUUCAUGUAUUUGUUGGAUUUUUAGAGGGUCAUAUCUACAUAUCCAUAUAUGCAUUGGAUGUGGAUGUAAGGGGCACUUUAAGAAAUAUGGAGAGUUAGAACAACAUAACCUUUUACCCCUGACCAUGUUUCUAAUAAAUUUAACUUCAAAUCACCUGGUUUGGAUUUUGGAGGACUGAUCUGAUCUGAUCUGAUCUGAACUUAAAACUCCCCAAAAUAGAAGUUUUGAAUUAUCAUAUUAUUUAUUUAUGUAUUUAUUUCCAUCGCCUUAGGUUUUUUAUUUUCUUCAAUUGAUCGAGUAUUUUUCACAUAUGAAAAAUGGGGGAGGGGGAAGAUAAGGAACUCGAGGGUAUUUCUUGAAUUCUGUAGUCAUCUUUGUAAGAGACCCAAUUUACCCGGGCUUAGACAAAAACCCAAAAAUAAAUAAAAGUCCAAAUACCAAACAGUUCAUUUACAAGAAAAAUGACACCCAAUUACAAGACCCAAGUGGCCCAAACCGGAAUGGCCCAAAACCUAAAAAACCCUAGCCCACAACACCUAAACAGAAAACAAAAAAACCUAGGUGCGGCUGCCGCCGCUCCUCCCACGCGCGCCGCACGUCAGCAGGGCCUCCUCGCAAGCCACCACGGCAGCACGCGUCUGACACCUGCAAAACAAAGGCAACACGCAACAGAAGCCAACAAGCAAUAGCAAAACAACAAAAAAAAAUAGAAAUUAGGAGUCUUGUAAUCUGGCUAUAAAGGCCAUGGCAGUCAGUUUGUAAUUCUCUCUUCUCUUUUCCGGACGAAUAUCAAUCAAAAACAGAAGAAAUUUUCUAAAGGUUUUUUUUUUACUUCUACUUUCGUUUUAAGUUUUUGUUUUAUUUUAUUCUAUUUUUUCAUUUUUUUUACAUACGAAAAUAAAAAAAGGGAAAAGGGAGAAGAAACUCAACUGGUGUUCGAGUUUUCAACACCGUGGACGGCUGAGGUAGCCACCUCCGAGGAUAGGUGGCCGGAAACCGAAAGAUUUCUUGGAUUUUUGGGUAUUUUUGUUGAUAUUUCAGGAAUUUCGGGCCCGGAUUUGGAUUUAGGAGGGUCGAAGGGAAAAGAAUGGGAGUUUUAGUUUUUCCGGCAACCGUGGACGGUGGCGCCAUCGCCGGUUAUCGGCUGCCGGCAUGGUGGCUGAUGGCCGGACUCCUGGCCGGAGUUUGGAUAGGAGAAGGGAGGUUGAGAGAGAAUUCUUUGGGUUUUUUUUUUUGAAAUGGGGGAGGAGAAUGAAAAUUUAAAAAAAAUUGGACUUUUAAAAGCCUAUUAAACGGCGUCGUUUAGGGCCAGCCAAAAUAGCCCUAAAACGACGUCGUUUUACCCUUAAGAUCCCCGCGCGACCCGACCCGUUCCAGGGGAUCCGCUUGUUUCCAAUUUUGGGAUAUUUCGCGAUCAGCCCUUCUGCUUUUUUGGCGCGCUUCAGUUUAGUUCUUUUUGUCAAAAUUUUUUUUAGUUUUGGCCACUGAAAUUUUGAGCGUUUCAAUUUAGUACAUGGCUCGCUGAUAUCCUAGAGAGGGGACGCGUGUCCAGGGGAACUUGGUUUUUUUCCAAUUUGGUCCCUGUUUGUUUUCGUGCUUUUCUAAUUAGUCCUUCGUUUUUUAUUUCUGUUCUUAAUUUAUCCUGUUG
rnacentral:lncRNA from 1 species